AAGGGAGACCUAAUUCGGGUAUGGGACGAAAAAAAAGUAGUCGCUACCAAGAAUCAAUCCCAAAAGGUCGGAGCGAGGCAAGAUUGGCUUUCAAACUAGGUUCUGGGUUCACACAAGACCUGAAUCAGGAACAAGGGCUAUUAGCUCAGGUGGUUAGAGCGCACCCCUGAUAAGGGUGAGGUCCCUGGUUCGAGUCCAGGAUGGCCCACCUGCACAGGUGGAAAAAAGAAAAGAAGCUCCGAAUCAGCACCUUAUCUUACUUAUAUAGUAAGAGAGAAUGCUGGCUCUGAGUNCAGAGUCCAGAGGAACCUUGAAAACUGCAUAGAGCUAGGUGAAAAAGCCAAAAAAGAAGACCGCAA
rnacentral:tRNA from 1 species